AAAUUGAAGAGUUUGAUCAUGGCUCAGAUUGAACGCUGGCGGCAGGCCUAACACAUGCAAGUCGAACGGUAGCACAGAGAGCUUGCUCUCGGGUGACGAGUGGCGGACGGGUGAGUAAUGUCUGGGAAACUGCCUGGUGGAGGGGGAUAACUACUGGAAACGGUGGCUAAUACCGCAUAAUGUCGCAAGACCAAAGAGGGGGACCUUCGGGCCUCUUGCCAUCAGAUGUGCCCAGAUGGGAUUAGCUUGUUGGUGAGGUAACGGCUCACCAAGGCGACGAUCCCUAGCUGGUCUGAGAGGAUGACCAGCCACACUGGAACUGAGACACGGUCCAGACUCCUACGGGAGGCAGCAGUGGGGAAUAUUGCACAAUGGGCGCAAGCCUGAUGCAGCCAUGCCGCGUGUAUGAAGAAGGCCUUCGGGUUGUAAAGUACUUUCAGCGGGGAGGAAGGUGUUGUGGUUAAUAACCGCAGCAAUUGACGUUACCCGCAGAAGAAGCACCGGCUAACUCCGUGCCAGCAGCCGCGGUAAUACGGAGGGUGCAAGCGUUAAUCGGAAUUACUGGGCGUAAAGCGCACGCAGGCGGUCUGUCAAGUCGGAUGUGAAAUCCCCGGGCUCAACCUGGGAACUGCAUUCGAAACUGGCAGGCUUGAGUCUUGUAGAGGGG
rnacentral:rRNA from 1 species